rnacentral:rRNA from 1 species
GACGAACGCUGGCGGCGUGCUUAACACAUGCAAGUCGAACGCUGAAGCCCAGCUUUUGUUGGGUGGAUGAGUGGCGAACGGGUGAGUAACACGUGAGUAACCUGCCCCCUUCUUUGGGAUAACGCCCGGAAACGGGUGCUAAUACUGGAUAUUCACUGGUCUUCGCAUGGGGGCUGGUGGAAAGGGUUUUUCUGGUGGGGGAUGGGCUCGCGGCCUAUCAGCUUGUUGGUGGGGUGAUGGCCUACCAAGGCUUUGACGGGUAGCCGGCCUGAGCGGGUGACCGGUCACAGAGGGACUGAGAUACGGCCCAGACUGCGACGGGGGGCAGCAGUGGGGAGUAUUGCGCAAUGGGCGCAAGCCUGAAGCAGCGACGCCGCGUAAGGGGUGGAGGCCUUCGGGUUGUGAACCUCUUUCGCUCAUGGUCAAGCCGCAACAAUGGUUGUGGUGAGGGUAGUGGGUAAAGAAGCGCCGGCUAACUACGUG